rnacentral:rRNA from 1 species
CAACUUUCAGCAGUGGAUGUCUAGGCUCGCACAUCGAUGAAGAACGCUGCRAACUGCGAUACGUAAUGCGAAUUGCAGGAUUCAGUGAGUCAUCGAACUUUUGAACGCAUAUUGCACUUUCGGGUUACUCCUGGAAGUAUGUCUGUAUCAGUGUCCGUA